rnacentral:rRNA from 1 species
AACGUAGGAGGCAAGCGUUAUCCGGAGUUACUGGGCGUAAAGCGCAUGUAGGCGGUUAUGCAAGUGGCGUGUGAAAGCCCCCGGCUAAACUGGGGGAGGACACGUCAGACUGCAUGGCUAGAGGGGGCUAGAGGGGCGCAGAAUUCGGGGUGUAGCGGUGAAAUGUGUAGAGAUCCCGAGGAAUACCAGUGGUGAAGACGGCGCCCUGGGGCCUUACUGACGCUGAGAUGCGAAAGCGUGGGGAGCGAAC